rnacentral:rRNA from 1 species
CUUGCACCGGGUGGAUGAGUGGCGAACGGGUGAGUAACACGUGAGUAACCUGCCCCUGACUUCGGGAUAAGCCCGGGAAACUGGGUCUAAUACCGGAUACGACUGCCGGACGCAUGUCUGGUGGUGGAAAGUUUUUUCGGUUGGGGAUGGGCUCGCGGCCUAUCAGUUUGUUGGUGAGGUAAUGGCUCACCAAGACGACGACGGGUAGCCGGCCUGAGAGGGCGACCGGCCACACUGGGACUGAGACACGGCCCAGACUCCUACGGGAGGCAGCAGGU